rnacentral:rRNA from 1 species
UACGUAGGGUGCGAGCGUUGUCCGGAAUUAUUGGGCGUAAAGAGCUCGUAGGCGGUGUGUCACGUCGGCCGUGAAAAACCUGCAGCUUAACUGUGGGCGUGCGGUCGAUACGGGCAGACUGGAGUACUGCAGGGGAGACUGGAAUUCCUGGUGUAGCGGUGGAAUGCGCAGAUAUCAGGAGGAACACCAAUGGCGAAGGCAGCACUCUGGACGUGACUGACGCUGAGACGCGAAAGCGUGGGAGCAAACAGG